CUGCGAAAGCCGGAUUAAUACCGCAUACGCUCUGCGGAGGAAAGCGGGGGAUCCUUCGGGACCUCGCGCUACAGGGGCGGCCGAUGGCAGAUUAGCUAGUUGGCGGGGUAAAGGCCUACCAAGGCGACGAUCUGUAGCUGGUCUGAGAGGACGACCAGCCACACUGGGACUGAGACACGGCCCAGACUCCUACGGGAGGCAGCAGUGGGGAAUUUUGGACAAUGGGCGCAAGCCUGAUCCAGCAAUGCCGCGUGUGUGAAGAAGGCCUUCGGGUUGUAAAGCACUUUUGUCCGGAAAGAAAACCUCGUGGUUAAUACCCGUGGGGGAUGACGGUACCGGAAGAAUAAGCACCGGCUAACUACGUGCCAGCAGCCGCGGUAAUACGUAGGGUGCAAGCGUUAAUCGGAAUUACUGGGCGUAAAGCGUGCGCAGGCGGUUCGCUAAGACAGAUGUGAAAUCCCCGGGCUUAACCUGGGAACUGCAUUUGUGACUGGCGAGCUAGAGUAUGGCA
rnacentral:rRNA from 1 species